AUGUGUGAAACUUGUUGGGUUAUAAAACCUAGUGUGAAUGUUAGCAACUUAAGUGAGGCUUUCGGAAGCCGAGACGGGAAGGAAACACAUCAAGGGUGAUAUCUAAGGCAAGGAAACCAAGACGUUAAGUGGACAAGCCGGUGUUGAUAUGCGUUUGAAAGGAGUGCUUUGAAGGUGAUGUAGGUGGCAUUCCGGAUGGCGAUCAAGCAUAAGUUAUGAACCGAACACGAUAUUUUGAAGCUUCCGCGAAGAUGACUGUUUAGUUGUUUGUUUUGAAAACAUGUAAACUUAUAGAUGUUUAAAUCUACUAUGGUGAUGUAACUUAGACAACUUAGUUUUUUUAACGUUAACUUUUCAAAGUUUUUGAAUGGUAGUAUUUUAUCUAUAAAAAUGCGUAUUU
rnacentral:lncRNA from 1 species